rnacentral:lncRNA from 1 species
CCCCUCAUCUCUUUAAUACUAUUUUACAACUUCUUCUUUGGGCUACGAAUCCUUUUUAUCCAAAUGAAAGCAAGUUUGCAAAGAUUUCCCUUUCAAUUCCAGCUCUCCCCCUAAUCAGUCUCCAAAUUCAUACCAAUGGCAGUUUGCCUUUGUCCAGAAUUGCCAUCCAAGCUAUGACAGAAAGCUUAGGAAUGUGCAACGGAACCAAAUAAGACUAUCCCAUCCUAACCUUUUCCUAAUCUUAGAGAAAAUCAGGGUUGAAGUAUCUCAUAUCUGCACCAAUGCUCUUUGCACUUAAAUGCCAAAUAGACUGAUUUCUAAUGACAGCCAUGCCACCCGAACAGACCCUUCCUACUUGGCAUCGUACAAGUUGGUUCCAAGAGACCAAAUCUU